UGCUGCGUUUCACUUUUCGAAGGAGAGAAAAGCAAGGCCUUUCUUCAAAAAAAUAAAGGAAAUUUUGUAUUUAUCGCAUAAAAAAGGAAAAAAAAAAGAAGAAAAAGAACGAAACAAAGAAAAACCUAACCUAAGAAGAAACCUGCAAACAAUUUCUUUCUGGCUUUGUCUUCCUUCUCCAUCUCUUUGUUCAUCGUAUUUGUUUUGAUUGUUCGUUACAUCUCAGAUAUGUUUCAGAAAGAAAAAAAAACAAGUUUUCUGUUGAACGAAGUUGAAUCUCCAUAACCCUAAUCACAUUUCUUUUAUCCGUAUCUGUUUUCAUUGUUCGUUAUUGGUUUUGUUCUAAUUGUUUUUGUUUGGUUUUAUUUUGAUGGAACUAAUUUUUACUAUUGGUAAACCCUAACCUCUUUCUUUCUGUCUCUUCGUUUCUCUGAAUCUUUAAACCCUAACCCAUGUAUUGUUUUGCAGGUACAAUCAAUAAACCAUAACCCAUGUUUUAUUUUGCAGAAAAAGACAUACCAGUUAUGGGAAGAAUCAGCCAGAGUUGCAACGGCAUACCAGUAAUGGUUAUAGCUGGAAUCUUAUGUGGUUUGUAGCUUAUUUAUCUUUUCUUUUGUCGAGAUGUGAUGAUUCUUCUGAUGAUCUAUGAAUUAUGUUAACUCUAUCAACAAGUAUAUUUGUUUUAGGUUUUUGCUGAAAAGUCUCACCGGCCAUGUUUGUCAUUUGUAUAUGUGAAGUUGUGGAAAAUGAUUGCAUGUGAUGUUUCUUAACAGGAGAGUUUCUGCGAGAGCUUUACAGAAUGUUUUUCAUGGAGCAGAGUCACAUAGUUGCUGCUACUGCCACUUGACUCAGCACCACCUGUAGUGGCAGUCAAUUUUGUUUCCUUUUUCAUAAUAUGUAGUUUAAUUAACGAGUAUACAGGCUUGGAAUGUUGAAUUACAUUUGGUUACUUAUCCUAUUAAUUUUAAGAAAGAAUAAAAACUUAAAUAUGUGUUGUUAAAGGAAAUGCAGAAUAUGGUGGAUAGAAGUAUUGUAAAUAUCGGGUUACAGAACCAGCAAGCUUCCAUAGCUGUAAUGCGAGUGGAUUGCAGGUCUUCACUUUAUUGUUGUGAGUUCUCUUAAAGGUUACUAGGCUCCUCAUGGACUGGGUGGAAGAGGAAACAUUACGUUUUGCAGAUUCAAACCGUAGUAAAGGCAUGAGAAUCUUGAGACCCAAAACCAAGAAAAAAGGGCGCACUAUCUCAUUUUUCUUGGUGUCUACACAGUAGCUCUAAUUGUAGGACUAAUAUUAAUUAUACGGGCUCGAAAUAUUAUAGGAAAAGAAGGCAGCACUCAAUACAUGGAAAACAUGUUUCCACUUUACGGGUGAUUAAUCUAGGAGACUAACUAAGAAAAAAUGAAUGAAGCAUUCCAGGAUACUCCUUCUAUCAAGACCGUGCACAUUAAGAUGCUCCUUUAUCAAGCUAUGCUCCGUAGGUGAUUUUGCAGGUCCUGGACAAUCUUUAUCAUUUGGUUUAGUUUGUUGUUGAGGAGUAUAGUGCAGCUGAAAUGUUUAGAAUGGUGUUGGUGGUAAUGAAAGCAAGAGAAGAGACAUAAAUACCUGGAAGUGGUAUUGCAGAUGAAAUGGUUUAGUUUGUUGUUGAGGAGUAUAGUGCAGCUGAAAUGCUUAGAAUGGUGUUGGUGGUAAUGAAAGCAAGAGAAGAGACAUAGAGACUUGGAAGUGGUAUUGCAGAUGAAAUGGUUCUCUUUCACAUUAAACUCAUGUAUUUCCACUAUACAUUCCAUACCACCACCAGCUGGGUGGAGUUACCUGUUCACAUCCAUCACCAGCAUACAUGCAGCAAGGAGCACAGAUAAAACAUCCCCAAGGCAGCAGCAGUUCGCAUACGCCACCACCACUCCAUUAUCAACAUGCCAUACCUUCGCCAACACCAUCAGUCCAUAUUCACCUCCACCUGCAGCUGUUUGGCUCAUGUCACUUUAUGUAUCCAAUUCAUUUAUAGUACAAGGAUGUUCUCAAAAUAUUAUCGGAUGAUAAUAAGCUUGCUUUGUUUAAUCUUUUCUGCAAUUAAUAUUAGUCUAACAAAGGAAACUUAACAGGUAAA